UUAACUGAAACCAAAUUAGAGGUAUAUUACUGUUAAUAAUAAAAUUGAAUUAUAAGUUCCAGUUAAG
rnacentral:tRNA from 1 species